GGAGGGAUGGCUGAGCGGCUAAAAGCGGCGCCCUGCUAAGGCGUUGGUCCAUGGGACCACGUGGGUUCGAAUCCCACUCCCUCCG
rnacentral:tRNA from 2 species